GAUGAACGCUGGCGGCGUGCUUAACACAUGCAAGUCGAACGAGGACGCCCCAGCUUGCUGGAGUGGAUCAGUUGCGAACGGGUGAGUAACACGUGAGCAACCUGCCCCUGACUCUGGGAUAACAGCCGGACACGGCUGCUAAUACCGGAUAUGCACCAUGAACGCUGGUUCUGCGGUGGGAAAGAUAUUUCGGUUGGGGAUGGGUUCGCGGCCUAGCAGCUUGUUGGUGAGGUAAUGGCGCGCCAAGGCGUCGACGGUUAGCCGGCCUGAGAGGGUGACCGGCAACCUUGGGACGGAGACACGGCCCAGACUCCUACGGGAGGGAGGAGGGGGGAAUAUUGCACAAUGGGCGAGAGCCAGAUGCAGCCACGCCGGGUGCGGGAGGAAUGCCUUCGGGUUGGAAGCCAAUUUUAGUAGGCAAGAAGGGAGAGUGAAGGUACGUGCAGAAAAACCGCCGGCUAACUCGUG
rnacentral:rRNA from 1 species